rnacentral:rRNA from 1 species
CCUACGGGAGGCAGCAGUAGGGAAUCUUCCGCAAUGGACGAAAGUCUGACGGAGCAACGCCGCGUGAGUGAUGAAGGUUUUCGGAUCGUAAAGCUCUGUUGUUAGGGAAGAACAAGUGCCGUUCGAAUAGGGCGGCACCUUGACGGUACCUAACCAGAAAGCCACGGCUAACUACGUGCCAGCAGCCGCGGUAAUACGUAGGUGGCAAGCGUUGUCCGGAAUUAUUGGGCGUAAAGCGCGCGCAGGUGGUUCCUUAAGUCUGAUGUGAAAGCCCACGGCUCAACCGUGGAGGGUCAUUGGAAACUGGGGAACUUGAGCGCAGAAGAGGAAAGUGGAAUUCCAAGUGUAGCGGUGAAAUGCGUAGAUAUUUGGAGGAACACCAGUGGCGAAGGCGACUCUCUGGUCUGUAACUGACACUGAGGCGCGAAAGCGUGGGGAGCAAACAGGAUUAGAUACCCUGGUAGUCCACGCCGUAAACGAUGAGUGCUAAGUGUUAGGGGGUUUCCGCCCCUUAGUGCUGCAGCUAACGCAUUAAGCACUCCGCCUGGGGAGUACGGUCGCAAGACUGAAACUCAAAGGAAUUGACGG